rnacentral:rRNA from 1 species
UUGAAUUGAAGAGUUUGAUCAUGGCUCAGAUUGAACGCUGGCGGCAGGCUUAACACAUGCAAGUCGAACGGUAGCAGGUAAGUACUUGUACUUAUGUUGACGAGUGGCGGACGGGUGAGUAAUGCUUGGGGAUCUGGCUUAUGGAGGGGGAUAACGACGGGAAACUGUCGCUAAUACCGCGUAGAAUCGAGAGAUGAAAGUGUGGGACCUUCGGGCCACAUGCCAUAGGAUGAACCCAAGUGGGAUUAGGUAGUUGGUGGGGUAAUGGCCUACCAA